rnacentral:lncRNA from 1 species
AGUGGCCAGGCCGCAGGAAGGCAGGCGGGAGCAGCCCGGGAGGACUCACCAAGUUCUUAUUUUGCUUUUAAAGCCUCCAGCUCCUGGCCCAGGGAGCCAGGUACAGUCAACCUGUUGGAAAAGUGCCUCCUUCUCAGGGAAGCCUCGGGCAUGGGAAAAAGCUAGGAUGCUCAGAACCAAACAGGAACUGAAAGUCAGCCCAGCCAAGUCCUUCAUUUCACAGCUGAGGAAACUGAGGCCCAGAGAGGCUGACCUGCUUGGGGUCACGCACACGUAGGGUGGUGCAGGCCUGUGAUCUUUGCACUGGGCCCCCAGACCUCUCUGGAGAGACGUCACACUCCUCAGAACCAGCAAGCUGCUGGGUGAUGCCACAGGACUCCCUGAAAAACCGGCCCGUUGAAGACCAGCACAGGGUGGGCAGGAGGGUCCCCAGACGGACCUGAGGCCCAGUCCUGGCCCUGCCAGUUUCUAACAGGGUGGCCCUGGGCAGGUGUCUUACCCUCUCUAGGCCUCAGUCUCCCCUCUGGCCACCUGCUGGGAUCUCCAGGGGAGUUCAGUGAGUGGCAGUGUGCGGUCAGCCCGGUGCACACGGGGUUCCCUCUGUGCUCACCAAACCUCAGAGGAGGUGGCCCUGGAGCCUUGAAGAAGAGGACGCCUCCUGCCUGCCGCUGCUGGGGGAAAGCCCACCUGGCCCUCCGACGCACAUAUACACACGGACAGGACAGCUUGAGAGCACGCGGAGAAUUUGCUUCUCCUGAGAGCAGGCUGGAGUUCAGGGGUCAGAGCGGGUGAAUUUGGGCUUUCCCUCUGCAAAACUCACGUGUGAAACCCACUCAUUUGUGCAACAAAUAUUUGCCGAGUGCUUGCUGUGUACAAGGUCCUGCCCCAGGGCGGGAGACAGAGCCAUGACCAAAGCAAACAGAAUCCUGCCCCAUCGUCCUUACUUCCAGAGGGCGGGAUCAUCAACAAGAGUCACAAAUGAUCAAACGCACAUGGGGAGUAAAUAGUGAUUGCGGAGCAGGGAUCGGAGAGGGAUCGGUGCCAAUGAGAAAAGAGUUGAGCAGAGCAAGGGACUAGGAAGCGACGGGGAUGGGAAUUUUAGAGGGGACCCAGAAAGGACCAGCCCGAGCAGGUGACCUCUGAACACAGAGAGGAAUGAGGGUGAUAGAAUUGCUCAGCCUCCACGAGGUAGGAAAUCCCAGAAGACAAGGAGGUCCAUGAAGCGGGGGAUGAGAAUCCCACCAGUUUGAAACGUGCCACGUUGGUGACGCUCCUUCCUUGAGGCUUCUUUGUCCCCCUCCCCAACCUCAUUUCACACUCUGCUCCUCACACAAUAGAGUCUCAGAAGGCCAUGGCCACAAAGGGUCAGGGCACCAGCCUUGGGACAAGACCCAAAUCAUCAACCAGAUGUCACAGCUGCUGACCCUGGCCUCACCCAGCCGCCCUCUGCCUUGCCUCCUGCGCCCACCCCAAGCCUUGACAAGAGCUGUUCCCUCCAUUAGGAACGUGCUCCCUUCACUGUCCGCCCGCAGAGGUGCACAUCUUCCGGGUCUCACACGUGGUGAUGACUCAGACAACUCAGCCAACUACUCAUUGACUGAAUGAAUACAUUCACAGUUGUGUCUCCAGGGUCCUCAACUGAUUCCAUACAUUAGCUGCGUACCUGCCGUGUACCAUCCCUCUUUCUCAGAUUUUCAGUCAGCAAUCAGGAGACCUGGGUUUCAGCUGCGUGACUUGGAGCAAGUCACGUGUCUUCUCUGGCCCUCAAUUACAAUCAAAUCUUUCAGAGCUGGAAGGGAUCGUAGAGUUCUCCAGUCUAAGCCCUUGCCCGAUGCAUGGGACAGCUCUGCUGCAUCCACGUUCUGUCAUGACCCAGUCUCUCCUUGUUCACCUCCAGAGACAGGGAGUUCACUACCAAACUCCCAAGAAGGUUCACUCCUGGGUAUCUUCCAGAGUCAAUGAAGAUCCCUCAGACUGGAAAAGGCGUAGGCAUUAGCAGACCUGGUUCAGAUCAUACUUCUAGCUCUAUGACCUUGGGCACGUCACUUAACCUUUGUGAGCCCAAGGUUUACUAUCCGUAAAACGAGGAUCAUAAUGUUUUCUGUUGGAGUUGUCUCAAGGAUCAAGCAAGAUGGCCAGGAAGUGCCCGGCACACUGUAGACUCCGGAGACAUUUAAGAGAUGUCAAAUAUACACUAAGGAGCUCCACGUCCUGAUUACUACAGCACUUCCCAGGACCUAGACUCUGCGUCGUUCCAGAUGACAGUGUGGAAAUGCAGAGAACACACAGAAGGAAUGCAGGGAAAAGAUGCAAAAUGCAAAUAGCUGUCAGAUUUGGGGCAGCAAUCCAAUUUUUCUGUGGUUGUCCUGGGACAUGGAUGAAGUGGCUUCCCUGCGAGUUCCCCAGCCGUGCGCUGACUCUGCUGUCUGGCGGUCAUGCACCCCCACGUGCAGGAAGAGGCUCCAACCCUACCUUAGAAGAGCUGGGGCCUCUGUGAGCUCCACCCACCCUGGGGGCAGCAGCUGACCUGGCUCUGGCCCUUUGGCCUGCUGCCUGCACAUGGUCAGUGCUGCCAGAGAGCCUGGCCUGCCCAGAGAGGGCUGACCUUGACCUCUAAACUGGACCUAGGGGAUGUCUUCUGGGCAGACCUUCAACCAACAGCAAACAUCAUUUCCACGUGCCUUCAAACAAACAAGUACAAAUUACACUCCUAAAUUACAGAGACUGGGAAAACUACCUCCUCCUGCUCUGGUUUGCUUUUGAAGAGGUAUCCUUGGAAUCAUGAUCUUCAAACUUUCUGGACUCAUAUAAGCCUUAAACAUUUUCGG